GUCGAGAAUCUUCGGCAAUGGGCGCAAGCCUGACCGAGCGACGCCGCGUGGAGGAUGAAGGCCUUCGGGUUGUAAACUCCUGUCGAGGGGGAAGAAGGGUCGAAAGACCUUGACUGAUCCCUGGAGGAAGCACGGGCUAAGUUCGUGCCAGCAGCCGCGGUAAGACGAACCGUGCGAACGUUAUUCGGAAUCACUGGGCUUAAAGCGCGUGUAGGCGGGACGGCACGUCUGUCGCUGAAAUCCCCCGGCUUAACCGGGGAACUGGCGUAGAUACGACCGUCCUGGAGGGGCGUAGGGGGACCUGGAACUUCCGGUGGAGCGGUGAAAUGCGUUGAGAUCGGAAGGAACGCCCGUGGCGAAAGCGAGGUCCUGGACGCCUACUGACGCUGAGACGCGAAAGCCAGGGGAGCGAACGGGAUUAGAAACCCGUGUAGUCC
rnacentral:rRNA from 1 species